rnacentral:rRNA from 1 species
GUGAGGGAUGAAGGCCUCUGGGCUGUAAACCUCUUUUAUCAAGGAAGAAGAUCUGACGGUACUUGAUGAAUAAGCCACGGCUAAUUCCGUGCCAGCAGCCGCGGUAAUACGGGAGUGGCAAGCGUUAUCCGGAAUUAUUGGGCGUAAAGCGUCCGCAGGCGGCCCAACAAGUCUGCUGUUAAAAAGUGGAGCUUAACUCCAUCAUGGCAGUGGAAACUGUUGGGCUAGAGUGUGGUAGGGGCAGAGGGAAUUCCCGGUGUAGCGGUGAAAUGCGUAGAUAUCGGGAAGAACACCAGUGGCGAAGGCGCUCUGCUGGGCCAUCACUGACGCUCAUGGACGAAAGCCAGGGGAGCGAAAGGGAUUAGAUACCCCUGUAGUCCUGGCCGUAAACGAUGAACACUAGGUGUCGGGGGAAUCGACCCCUCCGGUGUCGUAGCCAACGCGUUAAGUGUUCCGCCUGGGGAGUACGCACGCAAGUGUGAAACUCAAAGGAAUUGACGGGGGCCCGCACAAGCGGUGGAGUAUGUGGUUUAAUUCGAUGCAACGCGAAGAACCUUACCAGGGUUUGACAUCCUGCGAAUCUCUUGGAAACUUGAGAGUGCCUUCGGGAACGCAGUGACAGGUGGUGCAUGGCUGUCGUCAGCUCGUGUCGUGAGAUGUUGGGUUAAGUCCCGCAACGAGCGCAACCCACGUCUUUAGUUGCCAGCAUUUAGUUGGGCACUCUAGAGAGACCGCCGGUGAUAAACCGGAGGAAGGUGUGGAUGACGUCAAGUCAUCAUGCCCCUUACAUCCUGGGCUACACACGUACUACAAUGCUACGGACAAAGGGCAGCAAGUUCGCGAGGACAAGCAAAUCCCAUAAACCGUAGCUCAGUUCAGAUCGUAGGCUGCAACUCGCCUACGUGAAGGAGGAAUCGCUAGUAAUCGCAGGUCAGCAUACUGCGGUGAAUACGUUCCCGGGCCUU